UCUUGCUGUCGACGGCCCGAUCCGGCUCGACUCGGCCCGAAACCCCUCCUUUUUACAGAUGCCGAUCCUACGGCUGAAAGGGGUGGCAGGCUCUCUUCCUUUUAUCUGCCGUGACGCGUCGUCAAGUAGAAGCUUCCCGCCUCCGACGGCGCUCCGACGUCACCCUUAAUAUUAAGAGCCGAGAGACGGAUAGAAGAGAAAUUUUGCUCGAGAGGGAGGUUUCAUCAUCGCUCGAGUCUACGAUCCAACUUCCGACAACUUCUGGAUAUCAGGUUGUACGUUAUUGUAGUUAAUUAGGGUUAUCGAUGGCCACAGCGUUCGAUCGAUGGGAGAAGGAUCCCUUCUUCUAUGCCGCCGAGGAAGUGCAGGAAUCUACCGACAGGAUGGAAUCAGCGUAUCGUCGAUGGAUGCACGAAAAGGGCGUUGCGGUAGCGUCCGGAGGAAAUUGUGGUGAUUUCGUUGUUGAGCUUCGGCGGGAGGUACAUACAGCCCUAGGGACGGCGAAAUGGCAGCUGGAGGAGUUGGAAAAGGCCGUCAGGUACAGCGAUCAUGCUCUUGCGGCUGGAGAAGCCACUGUCACUCGGCACAACGAUUUUGUUGCGGCGAUCCGGAGUAAUAUUUCGAUGGUGGAAAAAGCCCUAAAGGAGUCGAAUAUUGAGGAGGAGGGGGAGAGUCGUUUGGCGUGGGUACGGCUUGAUGAAGGGGAAAGGGAUGAGCUCGCUCUUUUCCUAUCCGGUUCGCGUGCUGAAGUGGAGAAGGUGUUACCGACAGCUGCAGUUGGAGUCCAUGAGGCCGGAAAUAGGAUGAAUGAAGAAGCUUCUGUUUGCAAACCUUUCCAUAACAACGAGUUGCCUUCAUUGGAGAUGAUGGAGGAUAAAUUGAAAGGUCACCGGAGGACAGCUAGUGCUUGUGCUGACUUAGGGGUGUGGAAGAUUUCGGUAUCUACUGAGGAAUCUCCUCGGAAGUUAUCAGAUGAGCAGGCUAAUCUUCCCCCUCCAAGGAUACUCAGUCUGUCGGAGCUAAAAACUGUCGAAUCAGCACCUAAGCCUAAGUGGUAUAGAAAUGGUUUUAGGAAGUGGAAGGCUGUUAGCCACGAGGAUAUGGAAGAGUCUAUACCAUUGCAGAAUCAUCAGCUAACUCGAGGCAUGAAUGCAUGCUAUGAGAAGAGCAAGAGCUGUCUUGGCGAUUUUACUGAUGAUUCUACCAACAAGCAGCUAUAUGGUUGGUUUGGAGCUUUUCAAAGACAGAUCCAGAGGUCUCAAUAUCAAAUACAGUAUGGUCGACCUAUUCAGAUGAUUAUUUGGACUGCUGUCACUGUAAUGUUGAUUGUCUUUUUUGUAUUACGCGUGACUUAAAGGAGACCAUAGAUCUUAUUCACUGUUAGUUGAUUUUUGGGACGAGGAGUUGCAAAUUGUUUAGUUCCGCAGGCGAGAAGGCGCAGGUUUUUGCUGCAUGCAUCAGACAAGCAGAAUUGUAGAUUGAAGCAAGCAGGUUUCUGAAACAGGUGCAGGUUUUUUUUUUUUUAAUUGGAACUACUCAUAUGAGGUAGGGCCGAUAUCAUAUUGAGCUAAGUGCUCAUUGUUAGCUUGUGAUUGUGUAUACUAUGAGACUUUCGUAGUAAUUUAAUUAUUUGGGCUUCAAAAGCUUCCCCAUUACGAUAGGAUAGGCUUUGCGUUUGUGAGGGUUUAUUAAGAGAACAAUUCCUAUUCAUUUGUACGAUUGUACUGUAUAUUUUUCAUCAUUGAUUAAAGAAAGAAAAUUUGGCUUUAA